rnacentral:lncRNA from 10 species
GUCCUAACAAGGAGCCAGUUGGCUGAUGAAAAAUGUAAUUUGCAGGUCCCAGCCCCAGCAUCACCAAGUGGAAUAUAGAAGGAUAUCAAGAGUGACUGGGCACAUGAAGUCCAAUUGAAGGUUGUUUUGUCUGUAUGCUGAUGCAAACUUUAGUUCACAGAAACCUUUUGGUCUGUAAAUUGCAUUUUGUUUUAGGGUUUUUGCUUCCCUCCAUACUGAUGAGUGUUGUGGGUGGAUUUGUGAGCUCUCACUGCUAGUUAAGCAUCUGCUAUUCAUCAUCCUGAUAUAGUCAUCUUUUGCAUUUUACUUUUCAAAUGGCAAGCUUCAUCAGAAAUUAAGCACUUUUUACUAGAGACACUAUUUGACUCACAAUCUGACAGAUUCUAAGCUUAAAGGGAAUCGCGGGGGGGGGGAGCUGAUAAUAACAUCAGCUACAGGAAGCUGUCAUGAAUGGGUUUACUAACUCAACUGGAGCCCAAAAUGAAAGGAAGAAUAUGAAUAUUCUCUUGACCUCACUGUCUUCUGGUGACACUUUAGAGCUGGCUCCAUCAAUUUAUAUUUUCAAUUACACCUGCUUUACUGGUCCUUCCCCUCACUUAUAUUUUUACGUCUAUCCUAUAUUAAAAAUAAUUAUAUCCUGCCUCCCACGAGCUGCCAAACUCACUGCACUCAAACUUCUUGAAAGAAUUCUCAUAAUCUUCUCACCAUUUAUCCCCUUGAAAUGUGGAUUUCAUUUCUGCCACCUUUCUGAAACCACUCACCAGUGUCACAGAUAACCUACUAAUUCUAAAUCCAAUUGCUAUAUCCUUCUUUCUAUUCCUCUCCACCUCUCUCCCUCUUUUGAUGUUCUUAAGCCUCUCUUCUCCUGACUUUUAUGACACUGAAGCCUCUUUGUUCUCCUAAUUCUGGAUACUCCUUCUCUGACUCUUGCACUGAUUUUCUUCCUCCUCUUGCUUCUAAAGGCUCUCCAAGACUCUGUCCUUGGUUCUUAUUUUUUCUCUCUCUUGAACUUUGAUGAAUUAAUCAAAGUCCAUUGUUUUACCUACGAAACCUAUUUCUCUUAAUUUAGUUAUUUCUUCAAGCUCUAUUCAUAUGUUUACAACUUCCUGAUGGACAUUACUCCCUGAAUAAUCCAACAGCAUAUCAAACUCAACAGGUCCAAAGGUAAAUUCAUUAUGUCCUCUCACAAAUUAUCUCCUUUUCCCAAAAGCUCAAAGCCUAUCUUUGCUCUUCCCAGUAUCUAAUCAAUUGCCAAAUUUGUAAGCUCUCUGCCUUUGCAACAUUUUCAUCUGCCCCCUUAUUCCAUUCUCACUACCACUACCCUACUCCCAAUCCUCACAAUCAUUCAUAUUGUCUUUUCUAAUAACCUUGCAAUUUAUCUUUCCCUUUCCCUCAUUCCUUUCCUACUCCAACCCAUCAUACCCAACAAAGUCAAAUUAAUUUCCUGAAGGAGUGCAAUGAUUACUCACCUGCUCAAAAACCUUAGUAGCUCCUACUUCUUUUUAGUUAAGUGAAAAUUUACCAUCCCUCUGUUUAAGUUCCUCUGUAAUCUAUCCCAGUCCAUCUAUGCUUGGCUUCUACCAUACCCUACAAGAAAACGGAAUUAUUUAUUGUUCCUUAGACCUGUCCCCAGAUUGUCUACUUCCAUGCCUUUUUUUUCAUGCCACUACCUUCAUCUCCGCUUGUUAAAACCCUGACCAAUAUUCAGUAUAAUUUGGACAUCUUCUCUUCUGUCUUCUCUUGUAAAGACCCGGUUGAAACUUCUGCCAAGAGCCCAGCUGAAACUCCCAUCACAGAAAGUAUUAUAUUGUGUAUUUGAUUAUAGUUUUCUGUGAACUUGUUUUAUGUCACUACUCAGACUGGAACCUUUAUGUUUUAUUGAGUAAUACACUGAACAGUGUCAGUGCUCCAGAUAGGUUCCUUCAGAUUUCUUUGCCAUUUUACUAUAUGUGUCCUUCCUCCACUGAUUUCAAUGUUCUUUGAAUUGCCACCUUUCAGUGGGCUCUUCUUUGAAAGCUGCCCUCAGGCUAUUGGAGCUAUUUUGCCCACAGGUCAGAGGAUUAGUUCUGAGAGUUUUCAUCCCUCACCUCUACCUGGUGGUGACUGUUAACCAAUGGCUAUAGAAUGUGGGACUUUGAAAGCACAACUGUUUGACUUCAGGAUGAUACAACUUGGAGGCCUCACACUGCAGAAUUUCCUGGCAGGAUCAGGCUGAAGUUACCUCUUGCAGAAUGGCUGCCGAAAUUUUGCCCUUUCUUCCUCUCCUCUGUUCAUCUCAUCUUCAUAGGAAGAUGAGAUAGGAAUCCAUCUUUCUGUCUCUCAGGGUCUGCUGCUUGGGAAACGUGACUAGGACAAGUCAUGUUUUUGAGUACUUGCCAUGUGUCAGGCACCAUGCUAAAUGUCCACAUAUGUAAUUUCCCUUAAUUUAAUCCUCUUAACCGCCUGGAGAGCUAAUUAUUACUCUGAUUAAUAGAUGAGUGAACUGGACUUUGAAGAGAUUAAGUAACUUUUUUCAAGGCUAUAUAGCUAAUAAGUGGCAAUGCCAAGAGUCCAAACAAGGCUUCAGAGGCAGCUCAGUCAACCAGUUUGCUAUACUCCUUCUGAAACUACUUCAUGGAAAGGAGACUUCUAAUAUGGCCCCGCAUGAGCCCUGUCUCCUGGUAUUCACAUCCAUGUACAAUUCUCUCCCCUUGGGUGUGAGCUGGACCUAGUAAUUUGCCCCUAACAAAUAGAAUGUGGCUAAAGUGAUUUCACUUCCAUGAUUAGUUAUACAAGACUGGCUUCUAUCUUGCUAGCAGAACAUUUUGCUGCCUUUGAUUCAUCAAGUUGCUCUGUUGGAGAGGCCCAUGUGACAGGGAAUUGAGAGUGGCUUCCACUCAAGAGCUAAUGAGGAACUGAGGCCCUGAAACCUGCCAGCAACCACAUAAGUGAGCUUGGAAGUGAGUCCUUCCCUGCUGGAGCCUUGAGAUGAGGCUGCAGCCAUAGUCAACAUCCUGAUUGUAGCACAUGAGAGACUCUGUGCCAGGGGGCUCAGAUAAGCUGUGCCUGGAUUUCUGACCCAGAAAAAAUAAGAGAUAAUAAAUUAUAUAUAUAUUUCAUAUAUAUAAAAUAUCACACACACACACACAUAUAUAUAUUUGAGACAGGGUCUCACUCUGUCACCUAGGUUGCAACCACCCCCUCUGGGGUUCAAGCUAUUUUCAUGCCUCAGCCUCCCGUGUAGCUGGGACUACAGGCAUGCCAUACCGGCUAAUUUUUGUAUUUUUAGUAGAGAUGGGAUUUCACCAUGUUGCCCAGGCUGGUCUCGAACUCCUGGCCUCAAGCUAUCCACCCGUCUCUGCCUCCCAAAGUGCUGGGAUUACAGGCAUGAGCCACCACGCCCAAACAGAGUGUGGUAUUUUUUAAAAGCCUGCUGCUUGGAAAACAGAGAGUCAACCUUGUUAUUCAGUGUAACACUUGAAACCUCCAGCUCAGUGACUUACCAAUAGAUGCUAACUAAUAAUCUAUCACCUCUGGUGGUUUUAUGGUCCAAUAAACUUAGCUAGGAUGGUGGUGAUAAACUGCUUGAAAAGCAUUAACUUUCCAAUGUGAUAGGUACUUGAUAACCUUGGAACCAAGUAAACAACAAAUAAAUUACCAGCGAGGAUUGGGUAAAGAUAUUAUUUUAACGCAUCCAAAAUAAGCCUUUGGUUUUGUGCUUGUUUCAAUUAAUUAAUCAAUCGAUAAGGGACAGUACAAAUUGGGCACCAGCUGGCUUGUUGCUCAACCAUAAGCAAAGCUGUGUUCAGUACCUCCCAGUCAACUGCAUGUUUCCCAACGUGUGCCUCUCUCUGCCCCUGCAUACUCACCCACAUACAGCACAUUGUCAUGUAAAUGGAAAUCAACCAAAGAUGUUUUUCCAAUUCUUUAUUCCUCUGGUUGCCAUGGGAUUACAGAUCAGAAGUCAGAGAAGACAGAUGUAAAAUAGAAAAAGAUGCAGCCCUCCAACUACCCCAGCUGCCUGAAAGCAUCCUUUGAGUAGGCAAGAAAAGGUAAUAAUGAGAUGGAUGACAUUGAGCGACAGUCUGUCACUAUGAUGGUAGGAGUAGAAGAAAGCUAGAAGAUAAAGGCAAAUGUAUAAUGUCCCUUGACCCACAGAGAAACCUGCCCACCUUCCGCAUCUUUUUCAAACAGUGGUUGGCAACAACUUGGGCAACCAACUGUCCUGAUUUGUUGGAAACUGUCCUCAUUUUAGCACUGAAAGUCCUGUGUUCCUGGAAAUAGCUCAAUCCCAGAUAAACCAGAAUGGUUGGUCACCCUAGCAACAAUCACUAACUCCCAAAGGGCUCAGCUCCCAUUGAUAUUUGCUUUUUAAUUGGAAGAGUCAAUAAAAAGAUAUCUUCUUAAACUUUUCUCUUUGAAAGCUGUAAUUAUCCUAUUGGCAGAAUUUAUUUUUUAAGGUAGUGCCAUAAAUUCUAUUCCUCCCACUAAAAAGUGAAAAAAAUACAUUAGAAGGUUUUACUAAUUUUAUUCAGAUGUUAUAUUUGAGCUGAAAGGUGGGGGAAGGAGACAGGAGAGUGAGUUUGGAGGACAGAAAGCUGUCAAAAAUAUGGACUAAGGGCAUAUUUAAAUUUGCUGGUACAUUAUUAAUUGAAGAAAUCAUUUGUCUGAAUUCAAAGGCACAAGUUAAAUAUGUCAGUAGUCACUCUUUAAACUCUAAAGAUCUGGACCCUACAAUCUGCAAAUUUUACAGCUAGAAGACACCUUGGAGGUAAUCUAACCCAAACUCCUGCUUUUUAGACAGCAUUCAAAGAAGCUCAAACUUUCAUUUUGCUGUCUGUUACAGAACACAGCUUUGGGGAGCUCUUAAUAGUUGUUACAUGAUAAAAAAGUUUCCUUGGUCACAUAAGUUUAGGAAAUAUCAAGGUAAGCAAUGUUAAACAAGUUUCUUGACUGCAGAAAUUUUCUAGGCAUUUUAUAUGCUUGCAAUCAGUGACUCUCAUUCAAUGUACAUUAGAAUCACCUGGGGGAACUUUUAAAAGCUAUAAUUGACUAGGCCCCACCAAGAUCUAGGAAACAGAAAAUAAUCCCUCUCUGGAUAUUGCCGAUGUUCACCCUGAUUAAGAAUCACCAGCUAUAUUCCUGAGCUCUCUAUUCUGUUCCGUUGGUGUAUGUAUCUGUUUUUUAUGGCAAUACCACACUGUUUAGUUACUACAGCUUUAUAACGUAUUUUGAAGUUAGGUAAUGUGAUAAUCCAGUUUGUUCUUUUUGCUUAGAAUUUCUUUGAAUAUUUGGGGUCCUUGUGGUUCAGUAUGAAUUAGGGGUUGUUUUUUUCUAUUUCUGUGAAAAAAAAAUCAUUGAAAUUUUGGUGGAGAUUGCAUUCAAUCUGUAGAUUGCUUUGGAUAGUAUGGACAUUUUAACAAUACUAGUUCUUCCAAUCCAUGAACACAGGAUAUCUUUCAAUUUAUUUGUGUCUUCUUCAAUUUCAUUCAGCAAUGUUUUAUAGUUUUCAGUGCACACGCAUGCCACUUUCUUGGUUAAGCUGAUUUUAGACAAAGGUGCCAAGACACACAAUGGGAAAAGAACAGUCUCUUCAAUAAACGAUGUUGGAACCACCGGAUCUCCACUUGCAGAAGAAUGAAAUCAGACCCUUAUCUCACACCAUACACAAAAAUAAACUUAAAAUGGAUUAAAGACUUAAACAUACCUAAAAUUGUAAACUACUAAAAGAAAAACAGAGGAAAACCUCCAUAACAUUGGUCUAGGCAAUGAUUUUUUUAUAUCACUCCAAAAGCAAAAAUAGACAAAUGAAAUUAUAUCACACAAAAAACUACACAGCAAAGGAAACAAUCAACUGAGUGAAGAAACAAUCUACAGAAUGGGAGAAUAUAUUUGCAAACCAUACAUCUAAUAAGAAGUUAAUAUCAAAAAUCUAUAACACACUCAAACAACUCAAUAGCAAGAAAACAAACUGAUUUAAAAAAAUAAACAAAGGGCUUGAAUAGACAUUUCCCCCCAAAAAAGACAUAUAAAUGGCCAACAGGUAUAUGAAAAAGAUGCUUAACAUCACUAAUCAUUAGGGAAAUGCAAAUUAAAACCACAAUGAACUAUCACCUCACACCUGUUAGAAUGACUAUUAUCAAAAACAUUAAAUAUAAGUGUUGGAGAAGAUGUGGGAUAAAGGGUACACUUACACAGUGUAGGUGGGAAUAUAAAUUAGUACAGCCAUUGUGGAAAACAGUAUGGAGGUUCCCCAAAAAACAAAAAUAAGGCCAAGCACGGUGGCUCACGUCUGUAAUCCCAGCACUUUGGGAGGCCGAGGCAGGUGGAUCACGAGGUCAAGAGAUCGAGAUCAUGCUGGCCAACAUGGUGAAACCAC